CAAAACUCAAGACGGUGGAUCGUUCACGCCACCCCCAGAUCAGCGUCGGUAUGAAGCUGUCGCGUAGUGACGCUGACGCAGAUUGACUACAGAGUCUACAGAUUAUUAUAUUCUUGUAUCAUUGAGAGAAGAGGUACCUGAAGAACUAACAGGUUUCGAUGAGCAUUUCGACUUACUGAGUAUCGAUUCUCGUCCUGGUUAUAGUCUUCUAGCCAGCGCUCUUCAUCACGAGCUAACAUCCACCUAUCAACUUUUUCAAUUAUUCCUUUUCUACUUGCUGCUUCUUCCUUUGCUCUUGCUAUCUUUUCAUCCAUGGUGGUGAGAAGGUCGACAUGGUCAAUCUCCCCUUUAAGAUAAGAGAAUUGAAACUCUGCAUUGAGUUUGACAUAUGUAAUAAAGAGACACAUAAGUUGCAGAAAGCUACAGUUUGUCUCACCAGAGUCUACAAGUUGAUCUAGUCUUUGGACUUCAGCCUCAGCCUUGGGAAAAAUUUGCACAAAUGAAAAGGAGCACACACGUCUGAUGGAGCGAAUGACAAUAAAUCAAUGACGUGAGAAAACUUUUGACGAUCUUCAAAAGAUGCAUCCAUUAGAUUCCAUAGGUUGGAUAAAGCUCUACCAAGAUGGUGAAGCUGCCAUUUGUAAGAUGUCUUAGAAGUUCUGAACUGCUUCACUCUCUCGUCUUUCCUCAGCCUCAUCUCACGUAGUGCAGGCGCGAUAGAAUCCAGCUGCUCCCUCAGUGUUCCUCCCUUUUUCUCUGGCUGUGUAGAGAAUUAAAUGACAACAAAGUUAUCUAGGAAUUAGUCUACAGUUUCGUUACUGAAUAACCUUUGCUUCACAGUGGAUAUUAAAGAAUGAAAAAUUACCCUUCCAGGUACUGAUCUUUCACCGAGGCACAAAAGAAAGUGAGUGAGUUCGGCUUCAGAUUCUGCCAGCUCUUGAUGUAGACGAGACCUCGAAACAUUGGCCUGGUCAACUUUUCUCCGGUUUUGCUUUGAAGACAAGUGUGAAAGUGACACAUACUCUGCUACAGAAGCUUCCAGUUUAAGUGAAGGCUCAUCCGCAUCUCCCUCCUCCUCUUUUGAUUCUUCAGUUUUAGGUCUCUUUCUCUUUCUCUCUCUCUCGUCUUCAUCUGAAUUUGGUAAAGUUUAGGAGUCGCUUUUGUGCUGAUGCGUUUGCUUCUUCUGUAUCAAAAGCCAGAGAGAGAUGUUUUUUUUUUUUUAUAUACCAUACAAAACUUGAUUCCUAAGCAAAACCUCUAGUGCUAACUUUUUUACUUAUCGAGAUCGACUGUGUGAUUCUUCACCAUGUGCCUUCUUACAAAAGUAAGUUUCUCCUUGUUCUUACAAAGUAAGAUAUAGAGAUGCUCUCAUUCUCGUAUGAUUAAUUUGAUUUCAUCAA